GACGAACGCUGGCGGCGUGCCUAAUACAUGCAAGUAGAACGCUGAAGGAGGAGCUUGCUUCUCUGGAUGAGUUGCGAACGGGUGAGUAACGCGUAGGUAACCUGCCUGGUAGCGGGGGAUAACUAUUGGAAACGAUAGCCAAUACCGCAUAAGAGUAGAUGUUGCAUGACAUUUGCUUAAAAGGUGCAAUUGCAUCACUACCAGAUGGACCUGCGUUGUAUUAGCUAGUUGGUGGGGUAACGGCUCACCAAGGCGACGAUACAUAGCCGACCUGAGAGGGUGAUCGGCCACACUGGGACUGAGACACGGCCCAGACUCCUACGGGAGGCAGCAGUAGGGAAUCUUCGGCAAUGGACGGAAGUCUGACCGAGCAACGCCGCGUGAGUGAAGAAGGUUUUCGGAUCGUAAAGCUCUGUUGUAAGAGAAGAACGAGUGUGAGAGUGGAAAGUUCACACUGUGACGGUAUCUUACCAGAAAGGGACGUCUAACUACGUG
rnacentral:rRNA from 1 species